rnacentral:rRNA from 1 species
GUUCGCCUACGGGGCGCAGCAGUGGGGAAUAUUGCACAAUGGGGGAAACCCUGAUGCAGCGACGCCGCGUGAGUGAAGAAGUAUCUCGGUACGUAAAGCUCUAUCAGCAGGGAAGAAAAUGACGGUACCUGACUAAGAAGCCCCGGCUAACUACGUGCCAGCAGCCGCGGUAAUACGUAGGUGGCAAGCGUUGUUCGGAAUAACUGGGCGUAAAGGAUGCGUAGGCGGUUAAACAAGUUAUAUGUUAAAUAUAUAGGCUUAACCUGUAGAAAGCAUAUAAAACUGUUUAACUAGAGUGCAGGAGG